UGUGAUUUCUGCAGAGGAAUAAUACGAUUGAAUUGGUGUGAGCUAGCUUUUCGUCGACCUUCUCUGUGUGCAGAUGGAGGAGGGGGAGAGAGUGGCAGCAGAACACCUGCAAGCGGAUUAAUGAGGGAGAGACUGCUCUCCGAGCUGUCCAUCCUACUCACACUAAUUAAUCCUGCUGGUCAUUAGGACUAACCGUUAGCCUCAUUCAAAUACCAAGCAUCUUAUAUGAGCAAGCUACUGGAACUUGCGUUCAGGCUGGGAGCACAGUAACUCUACCCUGAUUUACGUCCAUGCUGAAAUGAUAAGGGCAGAGGUAUGCCUGGUUGCUCUUAAUUUAGAGGGGAAUUUGUGUGAUUUGUAUAAAUUGUUUAAAUGUGUACAACAUGGCCAUUUACAGGUGUGUGUGAGAGCGUUAUGAUUUCAGUAGAUCUUUUGGAAAAAGUAGUUCCAAUUCUAAAUUCUGAUUGAAUGGACUGCAUUUAAAGCCAUUGAAAAAUGACUAUAAAGGCACACCUACAGUAUGCCACACAUUCUUUAUCAAUGUACCAAGUUGCUAUGUAGCUUGGCAACCACAAACAGCCUACAGUUAGGAUAGUGAACUAUGUUACUUGGUCAAAUAAUUUUUAUUCUAAUUAAUAAUACAUUUAACUGUUUGUUGAACAUUGGUGUAUUUUAUCAUAUUACUGUUGCCGCCAUUUUAUACUGACUUCUCACAGUGUUAAUUCAGCAACUGUAGGUCAAAAGUUCUGCUGCUGAAAUAGGACUGUGCUUACCACAAUUCUAAUCACUGUCCCCAGUGACUGAAGCUGGAAGUAUUGUUGCACAUUUGGGCUUGGGUUAGCUCCAGUUUCCAGGUGAAAUGUCCGUAGUUGAAUACAAUACAAAUCGAGUUGUAUUUUUAGUCUAAAUAAUGUUAUUUAUUUUAUUAAAUCUACCCCCUAACCCAAACCCCAACCCUGAACAUAACUGUCAUUGGAGUAAAAAUGUAAUUUUAGAGUGAAAAUGCAACCUCCGGACCACGCCCACCAUCGUUUAUGUGAACACGGUUACUUUCUGGUCAGUAGCGCUUGAGGGAAAUGUGUUUACAUCUGAAUUGAUGCAAACAUAUCUGAUGGGGAAUGCCGCUUGUCAGUAAUUUGGCUGAAUGGGGUGGAUUUCAGGAUACAUAAACCCUUGGAAGCAACAUGCCGAUAUCCUGUGUGAUCAUGCUGGUUUUAUAUAAGCAAUAAGGCACUCGGGUAUUUACAUUAUAGCUAUUUUGCCACUGGUAAGGGCGUGCACCUAUUUUUUAUUUAAUUAAUAAAUGUAUUAAUUUGUUAAUAUGUAUGAAAUAUUGCUUUAUUUUAGACACUCUAAACACACACACGCACACUUCUGUCUUUCUCUGUGCUUGACUUUACUGCCAUGCUCAUGGGAGAUGAGAGCCGACUCAACACAGAAGAGCCAGGAAGAGAAAGGGCGUGCGAGGGGAAGACUGAAAUGCAAUCAUAUUUGGAGAACAUCUUUCAGGAGCUCUCAGAGCCACAACAACUGGUGCAUCCCAAACCGCACACUUCUGCACUUCUACGCCAUUUUGUAGUGUAAGUGUGGAAUGUUGGACACUUCAUGCACUCAUCGCACACGGCUUGCCGUACAUAGCGGAAGGGGCGGAGUUACCUGGCUGCGCUGCUGGUCUGACAAAACAAUUGUAAAUAAUGAUGAAUGUAGCAGCUAGCGAAACUUCAGUGGAUACAGCACCUUACAAAUGUGAGUUGAAUGAUUUACUGUCACCCAAUCUGUGUGAAUAUGUACAUUGUUUGAGAUACAAGUUUUGAACUGAGAUUGGAUAUUGUGCUAAAUCUGUGGAGUUUUUUCUAUAUAAAUGUUCAAUAGAUCAAACAAUGUAUGAAUACAAUAAUAAGGACAUGUA